rnacentral:lncRNA from 1 species
CAUUGAAGAAAAAGUAAAGGCCGAACUUCAACGCAUGGAGGAGCACAACGUCAUAACCAAGGAGCAAGUUCGCUACUUGGGACACGUUUUCACCACGCAAGGACUGAGCCUGGGACCCGAUCGCGUCCAAGCCAUUUUGGACAUGCCAGCGCCAAGUAACACUUCUGAGCGUCGCCUCGAGGAACUACGUGUGGCAACCGCCAAGGAUCCUGCUCUGUCGACCAUCCGAUCCUAUGCCGAGACUGACUGGCCGGAAAA